UACAGAGGGUGCAAGCGUUAAUCGGAAUUACUGGGCGUAAAGCGUGCGUAGACGGUUACAUAAGUCGGGUGUGAAAGCCCGGGCUCAACCUGGGAAUUGCAUUCGAGACUGCGUAGCUAGGGUGCGGAAGAGGGAAGCGGAAUUUCCGGUGUAGCGGUGAAAUGCGUAGAUAUCGGAAGGAACACCAGUGGCGAAAGCGGCUUCCUGGUCCAGCACCGACGUUCAGGCACGAAAGCGUGGGGAGCAAACAGG
rnacentral:rRNA from 1 species